rnacentral:rRNA from 1 species
GAUGAACGCUGGCGGCGUGCCUAAUACAUGCAAGUCGAGCGAACAGACGAUGAGCUUGCUCCUCUGACGUUAGCGGCGGACGGGUGAGUAACACGUGGAUAACCUACCUAUAAGACUGGGAUAACUUCGGGAAACCGGAGCUAAUACCGGAUAAUAUAUUGAACCGCAUGGUUCAAUAGUGAAAGACGGUUUUGCUGUCACUUAUAGAUGGAUCCGCGCCGCAUUAGCUAGUUGGUAAGGUAACGGCUUACCAAGACAACGAUGCGUAGCCGACCUGAGAGGGUGAUCGGCCACACUGGAACUGAGACACGGUCCAGACUCCUACGGGAGGCAGCAGUAGGGAAUCUUCCGCAAUGGGCGAAAGCCUGACGGAGCAACGCCGCGUGAGUGAUGAAGGUCUUCGGAUCGUAAAACUCUGUUAUUAGGGAAGAACAAAUGUGUAAGUAACUAUGCACGUCUUGACGGUACCUAAUCAGAAAGCCACGGCUAACUACGUG